rnacentral:tRNA from 3 species
GGCCCUAUAACUCAGUUGGUUAGAGUAGCUGACUCAUAAUCAGCAAGUCCUUGGUUCGAGCCCAAGUGGGGCCACAA